ensembl:lincRNA Gm35585 predicted gene, 35585
CACGAAAGUUCACGUGCGCAAGCAUCCGACGCAAGGAGCUACUGCUCGGGCAUAUACUUCUCUGAGAACUGGAAUAGAGCCAGAAAGCUCCAACCAGAGCGUUAGAAACAUCUAUAACUAUUCUGGAACCUUCCAGCUAGAAGACAAGCUUUGAAGACAAUGUGCCCCACCUGGAGGAUUGGGUGACUGAGAUAUUGAUCUAAGAAGUGUAUGUGCACAAAAUGGAUUUCCUAUUACCUUAAAUAAUGGCAACUGUGUUUUUCAGCUGUUUCUAAUACUGUUAGGAGGUCUUUGUUGGAUAUGUUUAUAGUCCAUGAAAGCUUUAUUGCAAUUCAAUAUCUGACUUAUUAGAGAAACUAGGUAACACAAGCAAGUCCCCUUCUAGCCACCCGACAAAUGAAUUUACAAUGUAACGGAUUUGCAUAGCACUGAGAACAGGUGACCUCAAACUGAGAGGUCUGCCUGCUUUUGCCUCCUGAGUAAGUGCAGGGAUUAAAGAGGAGCAGGGCAGCAUCCAGCUGAGAGUAGAGCUAGGAAGGACUCAGGUACUAUGGGAGGUGAAGAAAGAAAAGAAUGAGAUCUAGAACAGAUACUCUAUUGUGUGUACUGAUCUUCCCCUUGAGACUGAAGACUUUACAUCUGUAGUUGCUAGCUGACAACCUCCAGUCCUCAGUCUGAAGACUGUUUUUGUUUUUCUUGCCAAAAAGCACUGCUUUCUGCCAGUGUGUGGCAGUGCUGAAGAGCCCUGAUAGUUCUGGAGCACUCCCUAGUACUACCUCGGCCUGUUCCGAUGGAAGCUUGAUACUCUGCUUGCCUCUUUUACAGCUCUCAGGUGCUGAUCCCAGGGGCCUCCCUGAUGUUCCCCCAUGCUAAUUUGUUCUGAGUCAACUUCCCAGGGAACUUGACCUAGAGUAAAUACCAUGGCAGCCCUACUCUUACUGUUUAUUUGCACAGAUUAUCCCUGAUGAAUAUGGUUUGAUGUACUAGUUUUUAACUUUACAAUGGUGUGAAACCAACACCAUUUAGUAUAAGACCAUACUUCAAAUUUUGAUUUUGGUCAGUUCCCAGGCUCAUGAAAUGUGCCAAUGAGCCAUAGCUCUCAAAUCAGUUAUAGGAUCGUAAGUGUAAAUACUUAACACUCUCUGUGACAACUUGCUAAAGUGUAGUAUUCCAACAGAUUAAGGGUAUGAAAUGCAUUUAUGACCUGUGGAAGAUAUUUUCAAUGCAUAUUGGAAUUAUCAGAACAUAACCACAGUUUAGAAGCCUCUAUAUAUGGAAUACUCAUGUAGGAUUUUAUUGAAAGCAAAUCAAACUGGUUUCACACUUAAAUGCUUUACCCAGUAAGGAAAAUUAUCAUUAUGGUUGUAUAUGGAAGACUGCUUUAUGGUUCAUCUUUCAAACUAACAUCAGGGGAGUAUUGUUUCUUUUUCUUAUUAGCCUUUGUAUUUAUUUUGCAUUCAUAAACAUAUCCUUAUGCCUUAGAGCAGAAAUGUAUUAGCUAAUAGAAUGAGUCAUGACUAUUUUUAAUGUUCCUAACAUACGUAAAACCAAGAAUGUUCAUUAAUAAAAGUGACUGUAACAAACC